UGAACUGGAAACGCGGGGGAAUUAACUUUAAAGUUUAAAUGAUGCAGUACAUUGUACUUAUAAGUUAAAUAAUGAGGGUUAUAGUGUUAUCCUAGUUAAUUAUUAAUAAUUAUAAAGGUUAGCUGGUGUUUGAUUAAGCGUUAAGAUUGGAUUAGCAAAACGUCAAUAAAAGACUUAAAAGCAUUUGAUUGUGUACUACUAGUACUAAGUACAGUGUACAACCUGGAGUACACUAUAACUUAUAAGUUAUAUUUAUAAAUAUACUUUAUAAACUCAGAUACUGAUAUACUUUGCUAUUCUUACCCAGUUAAUGUUCCAGAUAUUCUGUUACAACUUACACUGUUGCAGUGUUAGCUUUUUCAGAUUGAUUUCGCUUUAGCAUGUUAGUUUUAUAGACUAUUUUCUAAACUUAACUUUAAAUUUUUCCAUUAAUGUUACACUUAUAGGAUGAAAUGUAGUAAUUGGUAUAACACUGGGAGUAGCCUGGUUAUUAUAAAUGUGUAAGCUUUUUAUUUAAUUUUCCAUCGUUAUGUAUGAAGAGAAAAAAUAAAAGCCUAGGCUUAAAAACUGGUACUAAGUGAUUAAGUGACUUAAGUUAUGAAAAUAUAGUAAUAUUAAAAGGACAAUUUGUAUUUUUAAUGAGUUAUGUAUACAACUUGUAAGUUGUAGUAAUACACAUACUAGUAUUAGUAAUAGGUGUAGUACUUUGCAGUAUUAGUAGCAGUGGAUUAGUGACACCAAUUGAUUUUAUGCAACUUUUUUUAGAAGUAAGCCUUUAACUUAAAAUAUUGUGUAUUAUAUUUUAAGUAUACUUUAGAGCUUAAUCUAAUGUAAUUCAGUUUGUGCUUUAUAAUAAUUUAUAUGACUGUUCUGUUUUCUUAACUCUUGAGUUUUGGGGGCAUAUUGUUUUCCAUUUUUGUAAUAAUAAUAAUAAAUAAUUUUGAUAUGACACCAACAAAAAAAAGUUGUACAAUCAUAAGUUUAUUAAGAAAGCAAGGAGAAAGAAAAAAAAGAUUGAUAAAAUGCCCUGGCUGUGAAAUGGAGAUUAUAGAAAAUGCAUUGAAUUUUCACUUGGAUAAUGAUUGUUCUUCAAAGCAAGCAGCUGAGCCUGAAGGAACUUCUUUAGCUAUGAGAAACAGUGAAGAGGAAAUGACUAAUUGUAGUAAGCAGUAUGAAUUAAAUCAUGAACAAUUUCAAACAGCAAUAGUGGGUCAUACAGCAAAAAAUACUUUAGCUACGUUGUCACCUAAACAGAAAUGUGGAACAGCUUCAACCUCAACAUUGUCCUCUUUUAAUCUUAGUUUGUCAAAAAAGAGACUCCUAUCUCAAAACAAACAUAAAUUCAGUAAAAAAGUUAGACCUACUAGUGGAAAUGAUGAUAAAGUGUUGGAGGAACAGCCUCAGCAUUUCAUAUCAACAGAGUCUUCCAAAGCUAUGUGCAAGAAUAUAGAUAAUGAUUCUGUAAAAUUAAGUGUUUUUUAUUCAGAAACUGGUUCUCAUUCUGAAAAAACAGAACCAUGUGAAAGGAGUUUGAAUCAGAAACUUGUAAAUGAAUUUGAUUCAAAACCAGAAAUUGGUGACAACACUAAGCGAGACCAUGAAAUCAAUGUUGAACCUCUUCAAAACUGUUCUGAUAUAAAAAAUGUUAAUAAAGGAAAAAUUAACAAUGGUCCAGAGAGCUCAGAAGACACAGAGGCUCUUAAAACAAGAAAAGAACAGUGUUCCUUAUUAUCUCAAGAAUUUUCUACACAUUAUUGAAUAUGUUUUAAGUCAGAAGGAUGACCAAAAGCUGUUUAAUGAAGAUGAUAUGACUCAUAUAAGAAGUUUUCAACAGUUAACAGAAGCUGGUCAAAAGUUAUAUGUACGAUUGUUCCAACGUAAGCAUAAGUGGAUAAGGCCACAGAAAAUAGAAUACCCAGAAAUAGCUGAAAACAUUCUUCCCAUUUUAGAAGAACUAGUAAAGGCUCAGCUUCUACAUAACGUAAAUGACUUAGAAGAACUAGAAGAAGCAUUAAAUUUACUGAAUCCAUUGGAGCUGAAAACUCUUUGCAAGACAUUGGGCGUUGGCUCAGGUACGAAAGGAAAGAAAGAAACAAUUGUAGUUAUCCUGAAGCAUGGAAGAGAACAUAAGUCUGUAUUCCAGUCCAAGUUUUCUCCCAAUAUCACUGGAGUAAUCAUGAAGAAAGCUCGUCAGGCAGUUGGGAUCUGCUUCAAACUGACCGUAAUUCCACGACGUGUGUUUACAAGAAUUUUGAUGCUUUUCUCUCUCCCUGCAGCCGCUGAAGAUGAAGAUGAUGCCAGUGGAGGACAACAACAACAGUUGGUUACUUUGCUGUUAGUAAACCGAGGCCAACUGGUUUUUCCCACAACAACCAUACGCAGAGUAGCUAUUUUGUUUGAAACUCGUGAAGAUUUAAUCAGGUACGAAGUGGCGAGGCAGCUAGAGGGAGAUUUACUUUCUUCAGUUGAGGCUAAGGACUAUGAAAUGGCUCAUCAACUAUUCUUGAAUGUGAAAGAAAUGUACUUCCACUACUGCAGUCAAGGGCAACCUGAGAAGGACAAAAUUCUUCCCACCUUCCUACGUUGUUUCACUGCCGGCCAUGUUUACGUUCGGUGUCUGAGCCGUGGUGUGGAAAUACUGCAAAAACUAAGAAGAUACAAGGAUGCCGUAGAUCUGCUGCAAACACUAGUUGAUCAAAAGGAGUAUUGUCUAGACUACAGAGGGCGAUGGUAUGAUAGAAUUGCUUUAAAUUCAGAUCAGCAUUUAAAACAGCCUGAAAAAGCUUUUUCUGUGAUUAAAACUGCACUCUCAGAUGUUUUUGUGAGAACUGGCCACAAGUUUGCUCUUUUCUCUCGAGCCCAGAAAAUUUGUUCUUCCUCUUCCAACAAAAAGCUAGGACUAAAAUUGGAAGAGCUGCCAGAGAUAUUGUCAGUUCAAGAAGCUCCCAAGGUGGUGAUUCAAGGUCGGCUGUUUCCUCGUGCAUUACCUGGAUAUAAAACUGUCUUUAUUUCCAUGGAUUCUGCUGAAUCAAGUAGUGUUGGGGAUGUUGUCAUUGUUGGAGUUGAGGAAUUAGCUCUACAACAUUAUAAGCAACAAGGCUUUACUCAGGGCAUUCAUGGAGAAGGAUCAACAUUUUCAAUGCUGUUUUGUUUGUUAUUCUGGGAUAUUAUUUAUGAGUUAGAGGUUGACGAUGUUUUCCGUACACCAUAUCAAAGCUACCCGUUGGACUUAAAUUCAGACCAUUUUUAUAUGCAUAGGAUGAUUGAAAUUCAAGAAAGACUUCAAGAAAUAAAAAAUUGUACAAUAGAGGAGCUACAAAGUAGAAUUGAUCAAAGUUGGCAAGCUCAUCACGGAAAAGUGUGUUUAGUCAACUGGGAUAGAUUUGGCAGCUCGGAUGAUGUGCAGCACCAAUUGAAGCCUUCAUCCAGCUCUGUCAUUAACUGACUUGAUGUCUAUAAAUACUUGACUUGUCAUUGGCUGGAGUUGAUUGUAGAUGUUCUUUAAUAUUUUGUUCCAAAUAUGGAAGACUGUGAAUAAGAUGCUAACUGUGUUAUCUUAUGAAAUUAAUUAACCCUAAUUCUACAAGAAAAGGAAGGGUUUAAUAAAGUGUAUAGGAAAUGAACUGGUUAGUGGAAUCUGCCAACGACUUGUACAAGAUUAUCGUCAUUGUAGAAGUGGUGUUCCUGACUUGGUUGUGUGGAACCCAGAAUUUUGUACAGUAAAG
rnacentral:misc_RNA from 1 species